AAGAGGUUCAUCCAUUCCCACCAGAACUGAAGAGCAGUGUGCCCAGCAACUCUGAGUGCCCCUAAGAGCUGGAGAAUACAAUUUACAAAUCUUGAGUUUAUCAAUCUCUUUGAGAUGGGGUUUAUCAAUCUCCUGAUGCAAACUCUUUGGAUUGCCCUCAUACUGAAGGACAUUCUGAUUCUCCUGUAAUGCAAGAUUGCCUUCAGGUUAUAUUGAAUACAGUUCAGACAGAGCUCAGCCUCCUAAAGACAAGACAUGAGACAUCCAGAUCACAGUUCAAGCAGACUGAUAAGCAAUUGCCUCGAACCAGAGCAGCGGUUCCAGCGCCUUCCCGAGCCGCGGGGAGCACGGCGGUGACAGCAGCCUGCUGGUGUCCCCGCUGCUGGUGGCAGGGGUGGUCAUCGGGCUGGUGCUGCUCCUGUCCUCCGCCACCAUCGUGGUGGGCAGCCUGCGCAGGGACAGCAGGGCCGGCCGGCCGCGCCCGGGCAGGGCCGCUGCGGACGCUCCAGAUGGUUUCUCCCACGGCGGCUCCUCUGCAGAGCUGAGAUCCACCUGCAGCGAGGAGUUCCCCCCAGCCUGUGCUUUUGACUCCUACCUGGAUGUACUUUCUCAGGUGAACAUCAUGUAUCCUGAUCCACCUCCAUGCUACGACGAAUGUGUGGGGCCCGGAGCAACACAAAUAUAUAUUCCCACAGAUGAUCCCCCCCCAUAUUCCCUUACGGACCCUUGCCAAAGAAAUUAAAUACCCAGAAAUAUCUGUAUCAGGCAGGAAGAGGAAGCAGCCUGUGGGACUGCAGGCCGGGCUGCACAUGCUGCAGUGAGGCUGCAGGACUUGCAGCAGCCCAGCCCGGCCCUCGCGGUGAUCUCGCAGUGCGGAGGCUGCUCCACUGUGCGGGACAGCGGCGUGUGAGCACAGCCUGCUCCGGCAGGAACAUGGAACCUGUCCCGCUGGCCAGCAGACCCCAGGUCAUGGCAAUGACAGUGGCUCUUGCCUUCAAUUCUUCUGAAGAACUCAGACCAAUGGAAGAAUAAAACCUCUGGAAGUUUUACCAAAUUUAUAUCUUCUAAACUAUGGGAUUUUUCUUUUUACAGUGAAUUUUGCAAGUUUACCUAAAUUUCCCUGUUUGUGCUUCAAAGUGUUCCAUGGCAUCACACAGCAUAAAAGAGCAGCAGAGACAAGCAGUGCAUCUGACCUUUCUGAAGCAUUGCAGAACCCAUUGAAAUCAGCCACUCAUAAUGAAGAUAAGUGUUAUCGAGUCAAGCCUACUUGUUGAUUUUAUGAUACUUUGCAUGUUUUAGAACAGGAGGAAAAAGAAGAGGCUUUUGUUGUCAUUGUAGGUGUCACUAGUACAGCUCAUUCAGUGUAUUGACAACAAAGCAUUUUUAAAAAACUCUUUGUGUGUUUCAGUAGGCAAAGCACUGGCAAAAAAAAAAUAUUAUCAGUACCAUGUAGAAGCAAAAGAAAAUAAUAAUAAUAUUUUAAUAUUCACAUUAUUCCUUUGGUAGAAGGCUUUCCAGGUCAUUGCAAAGCCUGUUGCAAGCCUUCCUCAAACGAAACCAUCCACAAAUGGUGGAGAGGUGGCAGUGGGUGCCCACAGUGCAGCUGGCUCUACCGGCAGGAGCUGCAGCACAGCUGUGUGCGCUGGAGCUGCGCGUCCUUCACGGGCCUUGCUGCAGUCAAGGGAAGGCAGGGCAGUGGGUGCUCAGCUCAGGCACAGCAGGGCCAGGGCACAGCAGCACCUUGUCCCCAGCGCCGGCCGGGGCUGCACUCGCUGCUCCCACGGAGCCUCCCCUGCACCAGCCCGGCCAGAGACCGAGUGUGGCACCGAGGGGCUCCCAGAGCGGGCACUGGCUCUGGGGCGGGCAGGGCAGCGGGGACCCUGCCCCUCAUGGGCACCCCUUGCUCCUUUUCCCCUCCCGGGAGCCGCUGGCCAGGCACCGCCUGGGCACAGCUCCCAGGGCUGGAUCCGCGUUUGAAAGACAGCGCAUCCCCAGAGCUUCUGUCUGCUCACCUCGAGCUGGGGAAAUCCACGUGUGGGACAGGAAGAUCUACUUCCCCCACUUCCUUUGUAUGGCCCAGCAAAAAAAUGUUGCCUGAAAUGAAACAAAGUUGGGAUCCUGUUGUUCACUUCUGCCUGGAAAGCCCCAUUCCUCAUCUGAACUAGUCUCAAUCCUCAUCUGAAAUAGUCCUAGUCCUCAUCUGAAAGCUUCUGUGUAUCUGGCUGAGGACACACAACCCACAAGAGAGCAAGGAGAGCUCAAACCUGUGUUUUCCUUGGGACUUUCCCCUGGAAAACUUCUUUGCUGUGUUGUUUUGAAACGUGUUGUUGCAGGAAACACUUGCACUCUACAUUUUUAAGUAAUUUUUAAGUUCUGUGUAUAAUGGAAAGCCCCUGGGUGAGUCUGGGUGCUAGCAGGAAGCAGAAAUGACUGCCAGCACAUCAACAGCAGGGAUGGAGCUCCAGCCAGCCCUUGGGGCAUCCACAAGCCUGGGCUCCCUCUGGGACCGGGACAGGAGCCAAGGACCUGUGGCAGGGGAGCAGAGUUAUCACAGGCUCAGCUCCAGGAAAUUUCUUAGAGGCAUUUUCACUAAAAUAAAAUUUAAAAAAAAAAAGUUUUUUUACACAGAGAAAACUGACUUCAUUUUCUAUCCCCACUAAAGGAUAUGUAAAGCUGAGUAUAGUAAAUAUAUAAUGGUGUUUAAAAGGAAGCAGCAUCCAAAUUAUUAAAAUUGCACUUGGAUUUUCUGUAAAUACUGAAUAAUUUUCAACUGUAAUCAUAAUUCAACACUCCAAAGAUUGACACAAUUAUAAUUAAUACUUAGAUGGGAAGUAAUUAUAUGAUUCUUACUGCUAUAUAAAUUAUACCAUUACUGAGAAUUAUGCACAUGAUGAGCUAUAAGGUAAGCAUGCAUUUUUUGCUAAGAAGAUGACAGUAAAUAUGUAUUUUGCUAAAAUGAGACAAUUCUUUUGCAGUUCAGCAAGAUUUUCAGUACUCUCAGUAUAUUAUACUCAAAAGAACAAAAACUCACCAUUUUCCAUUGCAGAACUGCUGGCAGGCAUUGCUAGAAGGUAAGGCUCUAUUUCACAUUUGUGUUUUUAACAGAGAGAACUGCUCCUCUCCAUAAAGUAUUCCUUUAAACAGUUUUGUGGUAUGCAGAGCACCCUGCAAUGAGAGAAACAGCCCUCUACCCCAGCUCUGAGGGGGCAGAGAUGCACAGAAGUGCCCCAGUCAGGUUUAUUGGCAGGGGAGUGAGCAGAGAGGGAGGCACAGGGUGGUCUGUGCAGAAUGGGAUUGUCUUUCAGGGCUGGCUCUGCCUGUGGCUCCUGCAGAGCUGUUCCUGCCCUGGAACAGCAGGGCCAGGCUCUGGGACCUCGGGCUGCUGCUGGGGGGGGCUGGGGGAAUCCAAUGAACCCCUAUUAGAAGGGAAAUGGGAUUUUUUUUUCCCCUGAAAGUGAGGCUCUUCCAAGUAACAUGACCAAGCUGCAGGCUCUUCUGCAGACAGGCACAGAGUGCUUUUCACAUAUGGCAGACAAGUCCCUACCCCGUUACUGAUGCUCAGUUUCUCUGCACGGUGGGAAACCCUUUGGUUUGACUUUUAACCUUUUUAACAGGGAUUUCCUGCCCUUCCACCAACUCUGUAUCUGUGGUUUACAAAACGAGCUGACUUUAAGUAGACUUCUGAUGAGAAUGGGAGAUUUACAUUUUACCUAAUGUUAGCAAUGCAUUGGUAAAAUUGUAAAAAUGAAUCCAAGUCUUUCUUUCUUCCUUCAGUAACAGUGAAGUGUCCCUGACACUGUGCUCUGGGUUUGGCAGCAUUUCUUACACACCUCUGCCUGCUCCCUCUGGUGGUGUGGACCACUCCACAAAAUUCUGUCAUCCUGUUAUCACAGGAUAAUCCAAAUCAUCCCAGCUGCUGUCACAUGGAUAUGGGAGCCAACCAAAACAUCCACAUCCACACUGUAGCAUUUUUGUGAAUUACCACUGAAUACUUGGGUUUUGUGAUUCAUUACAAACAUAUAUAAUUAAAAACCAAACUGAAUUGAA